rnacentral:rRNA from 1 species
GAUGAACGCUGGCGGCGUGCCUAAUACAUGCAAGUCGAACGCGCCGAGAAGGGAACUUGUUCCUUUCAACGCGAGUGGCGCACGGGUGAGUAACACGUGGGAAACCUACCCUUCAGCGGGGGAUAACCAUCGGAAACGAUGACUAAUACCGCAUAGUUGUUCCAGUCGCAUGACUGGAAUGGGAAAGACGGCUUCGGCUGUCACUGAAGGAUGGUCCCGCGGUGCAUUAGCUAGACGGUGGGGUAACGGCCUACCGUGGCUUUGAUGCAUAGCCGACCUGAGAGGGGGAUCGGCCAAAUUGGAACUGAGAAACGGCCAAACUCCUACGGGAGGCAGCAGUAGGGAAUCUUCCGAAAUGGACGCAAGUCUGACGGAGCAACGCCGCGGGUGUUAAAAAGGUCUUCGGAGCGGAAAGCACUGUUUUCAGAGAAAAAAAGCCUAUAGGGUAACUGUUAGAGGUUUGACGGUAACUGAUCAGAAAGCCACGGCUAACUACGUG